rnacentral:rRNA from 1 species
CAACUGCUGACAAUGGAUCUCUGGGCUCUUGCGUCGAUGAAGAACGCAGCAAAACGCGAUAUCGUGUGAUGAUGUGCGACUUUUGAGAAUCACGACUUUUUGAACGCAGCAUGUGCUAUUGCAAGAUGGCAUGAUACAUUGAGUGUGGCG